rnacentral:rRNA from 1 species
GCUGGCGGCAUGCCUAAUACAUGCAAGUCGAGCGGACAGAUGGGAGCUUGCUCCCUGAUGUUAGCGGCGGACGGGUGAGUAACACGUGGGUAACCUGCCUGUAAGACUGGGAUAACUCCGGGAAACCGGGGCUAAUACCGGAUGGUUGUUUGAACCGCAGGGUUCAAACAUAAAAGGUGGCUUCGGCUACCACUUACAGAUGGACCCGCGGCGCAUUAGCUAGUUGGUGAGGUAACGGCUCACCAAGGCAACGAUGCGUAGCCAACCUGAGAGGGUGAUCGGCCACACUGGGACUGAGACACGGCCCAAACUCCUACGGGAGGCAGCAGUAGGGAAUCUUCCGCAAUGGACGAAAGUCUGACGGAGCAACGCCGCGUGAGUGAUGAAGGUUUUCGGAUCGUAAAGCUCUGUUGUUAGGGAAGAACAAGUACCGUUCGAAUAGGGCGGUACCUUGACGGUACCUAACCAGAAAGCCACGGCUAACUACGUGCCAGCAGCCGCGGUAAUACGUAGGUGGCAAGCGUUGUCCGGAAUUAUUGGGCGUAAAGGGCUCGCAGGCGGUUUCUUAAGUCUGAUGUGAAAGCCCCCGGCUCAACCGGGGAGGGUCAUUGGAAACUGGGGAACUUGAGUGCAGAAGAGGAGAGUGGAAUUCCACGUGUAGCGGUGAAAUGCGUAGAGAUGUGGAGGAACACCAGUGGCGAAGGCGACUCUCUGGUCUGUAACUGACGCUGAGGAGCGAAAGCGUGGGGAGCGAACAGGAUUAGAUACCCUGGUAGUCCACGCCGUAAACGAUGAGUGCUAAGUGUUAGGGGGUUUCCGCCCCUUAGUGCUGCAGCUAACGCAUUAAGCACUCCGCCUGGGGAGUACGGUCGCAAGACUGAAACUCAAAGGAAUUGACGGGGGCCCGCACAAGCGG